AACGUAGGAGACAAACGUUAUCCGGAGUUACUGGGCGUAAAGGGCGUGCAGGUGGUCUGUUAAGUCUGGCGUGAAAGCUCCUGGCUAAACCGGGAGAGGUCGUUGGAUACUGGCGGACUAGAGGACGGUAGAGGCGUGUGGAAUUCCGGGUGUAGUGGUGAAAUGCGUAGAGAUCCGGAGGAACACCAGUGGUGAAGGCGACACGCUGGGCCGUACCUGACACUGAUACGCGACAGCAUGGGGAGCGAACGGG
rnacentral:rRNA from 1 species